rnacentral:misc_RNA from 1 species
UACGGAGGGUGCAAGCGUUAAUCGGAAUCACUGGGUGUAAAGGGUGUGUAGGCCGGGCAGUAAGUCAGUGGUGAAAGCCUACGGCUCAACCGUAGAAUUGCCGUUGAUACUACUGCUCUUGAGUCCUGGAGAGGUCAUUGGAAUUCGUGGUGUAGCGGUGAAAUGCGUAGAUAUCACGAGGAACACCAGAGGUGUAGACGGAUGACUGGACAGGUACUGACGCUGAGGCACGAAAGCGUGGGGAGCAAACAGG